AUUGAACGCUGGCGGCAGGCCUAACACAUGGAAGUCGAACGAGUGGCGGACGGGUGAGUAAUGUCUGGGAAAAUGCCUGAUGGAGGGGGGUAAAUACUGGAAACGGUAGCUAAUACCGCAUACCAUCCGGAUUGCCCCAAUGGGAUUAGCUAGUAGGGGGGGUAACGGCGCACCUAGGCGACGAUCCCUAGCUGGUCUGAGAGGAUGACCAGCCACACUGGAACUGAGACACGGUCCAGACUCCUACGGGAGGCAGCAGUGGGGAAUAUUGCACAAUGGGCGCAAGCCUGAUGCAGCCAUGCCGCGUGUAUGAAGAAGGCCUUCGGGUUGUAAAGUACUUUCAGCGGGGAGGCGUUACCCGCAGAAGAAGCACCGGCUAACUCCGUGCCAGCAGCCGCGGUAAUUC
rnacentral:rRNA from 1 species